rnacentral:rRNA from 1 species
GGCAAACGGGUGAGUAACACGUAAGGAACUUACCUCUAGAUCUGGGAUAACUUUGCCAACGCGGAGCUAAUACCGGAUGUGAUCAUUGAAUCGCAUGGUUUGGUGAUUAAAGAUGACCUCUUCUUGAAAGUUAUCGUUUAGAGAUGGCCUUGCGUCCCAUUAGCUAGUUGGCGGGGUAAUGGCCCACCAAGGCUACGAUGGGUAGCCGGCCUGAGAGGGUGACCGGCCACAUUGGGACUGAGAUACGGCCCAGACUCCUACGGGAGGCAGCAGUAGGGAAUUUUGCGCAAUGGGCGAAAGCCUGACGCAGCAACGCCGCGUGAGGGAUGAAGGUCUUCGGAUUGUAAACCUCUGUUGAGUGGGAAGAAACGCAUUAUGGCUAAUAUCCAUAGUGCCUGACGGUACCAUUCGAGGAAGCCCCGGCUAACUACGUGCCAGCAGCCGCGGUAAUACGUAGGGGGCAAGCGUUGUUCGGAAUCACUGGGCGUAAAGGGAGCGUAGGCGGAAAUUCAAGUCAGAAGUGUAAUCCAUAGGCUCAACCUGUGGUUCGCUUUUGAUUCUGCUUUUCUUGAGUAUUGGAGAGGGAGACGGAAUUCCAGGUGUAGCGGUGGAAUGCGUAGAUAUCUGGAAGAACACCAGUAGCGAAGGCGGUCUCCUGGCCAAAUACUGACGCUGAGGCUCGAAAGCGUGGGGAGCAAACAGGAUUAGAUACCCUGGUAGUCCACGCUGUAAACGAUGGACACUAGAUGUCGGACCCGUUCGCGGGAUCGGUAUCGUAGCUAACGCAUUAAGUGUCCCGCCUGGGGAGUACGCUCGCAAGGGUGAAACUCAAAGGAAUUGACGGGGGCCCGCACAAGCGGUGGAGCAUGUGCUUUAAUUCGAUGCAACGCGAAGAACCUUACCUGGGCUUGACAUGGGAGUGAAAGUUUCCAGAGAUGGAGGCCUUUCCUUCGGGAACACUCUACACAGGUGCUGCAUGGUUGUCGUCAGCUCGUGUCGUGAGAUGUUGGGUUAAGUCCCGCAACGAGCGCAACCCUCGUCCUUAGUUGCCAUCAGGUAAAGCUGGGAACUCUAAGGAGACCGCCUGGUUUAACCAGGAGGAAGGUGGGGAUGACGUCAAAUCAUCAUGGCCCUUACGUCCAGGGCUAGACACGUGCUACAAUGGGUGGUACAGUGGGAUGCAAGACUGCGAAGUCAAGCUAAUCCCUUAAAACCAUUCUCAGUUCAGAUUGGAGUCUGCAAUUCGACACCAUGAAGGUGGAAUCGCUAGUAAUCGCGGAUCAGCAUGCCGCGGUGAAUAUGUUCCCGGGCCUUGUGCACACCGCCCGUCAAGCCAUGAAAGAUGGCAGUACCCGAAGUCGUCUCUCUAACCGCAAGGAGGAGGACGCCUAAGGUAAGGCCGUUGAUUGGGG